GACGAACGCUGGCGGCGUGCUUAACACAUGCAAGUCGAACGAAGAGCGAUGGAAGCUUGCUUCUAUCAAUCUUAGUGGCGAACGGGUGAGUAACGCGUAAUCAACCUGCCCUUCAGAGGGGGACAACAGUUGGAAACGACUGCUAAUACCGCAUACGAUCUAACCUCGGCAUCGAGGAUAGAUGAAAGGUGGCCUCUACAUGUAAGCUAUCACUGAAGGAGGGGAUUGCGUCUGAUUAGCUAGUUGGAGGGGUAACGGCCCACCAAGGCGAUGAUCAGUAGCCGGUCUGAGAGGAUGAACGGCCACAUUGGGACUGAGACACGGCCCAGACUCCUACGGGAGGCAGCAGUGGGGAAUCUUCCGCAAUGGACGAAAGUCUGACGGAGCAACGCCGCGUGAGUGAUGACGGCCUUCGGGUUGUAAAGCUCGGUUAAUCGGGACGAAAGGCCUUCUUGCGAAUAGUUAGAAGGAUUGACGGUACCGGAAUAGAAAGCCACGGCUAACUACGUG
rnacentral:rRNA from 1 species